rnacentral:rRNA from 1 species
GAUGAACGCUGGCGGCGUGCCUAAUACAUGCAAGUCGAACGGUAGUCUUCGGACUAUAGUGGCGAACGGGUGAGUAACACGUUGGUACCUACCCCUAAGUGGGGAAUAACUGCCCGAAAGGGUGGCUAAUACCGCAUAAUCCCGCAAGGGUAAAGCAGUAAUGCGCUUAGGGAGGGGCCUGCGUCUGAUUAGCUAGUUGGUGAGGUAAUUGCUCACCAAGGCGACGA